CCUACGGGGGGCUGCAGUGGGGAAUAUUGGGCAAUGGGCGCAAGCCUGACCCAGCAACGCCGCGUGAAGGAAGAAGGCUUUCGGGUUGUAAACUUCUUUUCUCAGGGACGAAGCAAGUGACGGUACCUGAGGAAUAAGCCACGGCUAACUACGUGCCAGCAGCCGCGGUAAUACGUAGGUGGCAAGCGUUAUCCGGAUUUACUGGGUGUAAGGGGCGUGUAGGCGGGAAAGCAAGUCAGAUGUGAAAACCAUGGGCUCAACCUGUGGCCUGCAUUUGAAACGGUUUUUCUUGAGUACUGGAGAGGCAGACGGAAUUCCUAGUGUAGCGGUGAAAUGCGUAGAUAUUAGGAGGAACACCAGUGGCGAAGGCGGUCUGCUGGACAGCAACUGACGCUGAGGCGCGAAAGCGUGGGGAGCAAACAGGAUUAGAUACCCGAGUAGUC
rnacentral:rRNA from 1 species